GUUUGAUCCUGGCUCAGGACGAACGCUGGCGGCGUGCCUAAUACAUGCAAGUCGAGCGAACCACUUCGGUGGUUAGCGGCGGACGGGUGAGUAACACGUGGGCAACCUGCCUGUAAGACUGGGAUAACUUCGGGAAACCGGAGCUAAUACCGGAUAAUCCUUUUCCU
rnacentral:rRNA from 1 species